rnacentral:rRNA from 1 species
GUGUCAGCCGCCGCGGUAAUACGUAGGCAGCAAGCGUUGUUCGGAAUUAUUGGGCGUAAAGAGUGCGUAGGCGGUUUGCCAAGUCUGGUGUGAAAUCUCCUGGCUUAACUGGGAGGGUGCGCUAGAUACUGGCAGGCUUGAGUGUGGAAGAGGAAAGUGGAAUUCCUGGUGUAGCGGUGAAAUGCGUAGAUAUCAGGAGGAACGCCGGUGGUGUAGACGGCUUUCUGGGCCACAACUGACGCUGAGGCACGAAAGCGUGGGUAGCAAACAGGAUUAGAUACCCUGGUAGUCCACGCCCUAAACGAUGCGGACUUGGUGUGGGCAGUUCAGUCUGUCUGUGCCGGAGCUAACGCGUUAAGUCCGCCGCCUGGGGAGUACGGUUGCAAGGCUGAAACUCAAAGGAAUUGGCGG